AUGCCCACGCCGCGGUUUCCAAUCCGCGCAACGUGGCCCAGGCGGCUCUGCACCCCCCAAAACAACAACAACAACCACUCCUCCGCCCGUCCCCGCAAGUAGGCAAUAUGAGAUCUACAACCCUACGCAGCAGCGUCUACGUCUGGAAGGAAGCCAGUGUGCAAAGCGAGAGG